UGAGGACAGACAGACAGCACACAGACCUUACAGUGGUUUAAAGGUAUGUGAACACAGUUAAUAUUUAAAAUAAGCUUUAUUUUGGUUCAUUUAGUCCACUUAACUCAAAAACAGGACACAGCUUUAACAGAGAGCAGACUGAUCCUCCAGCAGAGUCAGUAUUAGUCACUUCAGGGGUCUAUAUUUACCACAGAUCUUUAAAGUGGACUUUGUGCUUGUUUUUAUAGAUUGUAAAAGCAGGUUUAUCUAAACAUGGAUGAUGUUGGUACAGGACUCCUGCUGCAGCCAUGUUUCUGUUUGAAUCAGAGCUGCAGAUCCAGAAUCAGCUGAAUGUUUGUUUCUGAGAUUAUGAUCUGACCUUCAUCUUGUCUCUCCCCCCUCAGCUCCUCAGUUCUCACUAUAAAGGUUUCCUUAAAGCUCCUCAGAUGCAUGCAUGUUAGAUAUUUAUAGACGGGAACGGACAUGAAUAAUGAACAGGACCAGAGGUGCAGGGACUGUGAGAAUGUAAAGACCAGCAGGGACGAGUGUGAGUCUUGAAGACAUCUUUCCUUUGGCUGCUUUGUGUCCUUGUUUGGCUCCAGGACUGAUCCAGGUGAGACAGAUAAAGUCAGGCAGGUGUAAAAGUAAAUUAAGGGAGGAAGCUGAUUGUUGGAGCUGAUCAGUCCUAAUCCGUGUCUCUGCAGCUGCAGGCAUCAGUCUCCAGACUCUUACUGAUUUCAGACCAGUUUGAUCGUAUGAUUAAACUGGAGAGGAGCAAUGGGCUGAAUGGUCCACAGCUAAUGUUGGUCAAGUUACCAAGUUAUACUCUUAUUACCCUCUCUCUGAGCAGGUUAUUUAGGAAGGGUCUCUAAAGGGUCAGAUCAGGGUUUCAGAUCAGUCAGAUUUUGAACCUUCAGUGUGCGGCCACUAUCUAUCUAUCUAUCUAUCUAUCUAUCUAUCUAUCUAUCUAUCUAUCUAUCUAUCUAUCUAUCUAUCUAUCUAUCUAUCUAUCUAUCUAUCUAUCUAUCUAUCUACAUACAUACAUACAUACAUACAUAUAUAUAGAUAGAUAUAAAUAAUAUUCCUAAUAUAUAUAAAUAUAGAUAUAGAUAUAGAUAUAGAUAUAUAUAUAAAGAUGGAUAUAAAAGCCUUCUGGACAAGGGUUACUCUCUCUCUCCCUCUCUCGCUCUCUCUAAGUAAACAAUCCCUUUUUUUACUCAAGGACACCACCAUGCUCACCUUUAAAAAUGUAUGAGCCGUGUGUGUGUGUGUGUGUGUGUGUGUGUGUGUGUGUGUGUGUGUGUGUGUGUGUGUGUGUGUGUGUGUGUGUCUUUAUGCCAGUGAAAGGAAAGGAACAAGACUUGUCCUCUUACUUUAACACACACACACACACAGCUACAGAAUCUCAAAGACAAAGAGGACAGCAGUUUUGCAUAUUUAUCUGUACCUGUUGUUUGAUUCUGCAGAGGAAGAAGAAGAAGAAGAAAAAGAAGAAGAGGAUGGACUCAUCAGGGUGAAGGGUGAUGAGGCUCUUCUUGUUUCUGAGUCCUGGAGGAACUCUGAUCUGAUUUCUGUUUGCAGUAUGACAGGACUGUGAAAAUUUAACCCCUUCCUGAUUUCUUUCUCCUCUCUCUGAUUCAUCCUCUGCUUGGUCUGAUCGCCCUGGCACAUCCCCUGUGCUGUAUUUAGUCUAUUCAUGGAGCUAAAACCUCCUUCACUCUCAGCUCUCACAGGUCCUGAGGUGAUAAAAGGUUCCAGGUCCUCUAGGACUAUCUAGACUUUGGUUUUCUGGAACUCUGUGAACCCUUAGUAAUCUGCCUCAGUGGGAGGGGGGACUGGCAGCACUUUGACUCGACUUCUGCCUCAGCAAACAGAACAUCAUGGUCCUCCUGAAACCUUUGUGUGCAGACCUCUGUACACCUACAGAUCCUGUCAGACUCCCCCGUCUCUCCUCGUUUCCCCAGUUCCCCAUGCAGCUGCUGGAGAGCCACCCACAGUUUAAAUAUCACAGUUUUCCAGCUGUAAGAAGAUCCAACCAGAGAAAAUUUCCUUCUUUGUGUCAUUUUCACAAACAUUAAAUAGACUUUUAGAGUUGGAGCUAUGUAGCAACUCAUAAUGUAAUAACUUAAAUAAAGUAAAAGUUCAUGAUGUAAUAAAAUCUUGAGUGCAUAACAUAAUACAGACUCACUGGAGGAUGUAGUGGAGAGAUGUACACUGAGGAAGGUGGAAUCUAUUCUAAGGAAACCACUUCAUAACACCUUAAUGGACCAAAGGGCAAAUGGUGGUAGACGGCUCCUCUCUCUGUUUGCUGCAGGACAGAAAGAUUCAGAAGAUUGUUUGUACCCACAGCCAUCAGACUUUACAACUCUUCUGUAAACAGUAGAUGACUUUUUGAGAGAUGACAAAUGAGACUACAGACAAUUGAAUUUCCCUUUGGGGAUAAAUAAAGUUAUACUAUACUAUAUGUAAUAAUGUAAUAACUUAUUAUUACAUAAGGCACAGGCACCUAUACAAAUGUAUCAGCACCAUUGUUAUACAGUGGACAAAUUUUGAUUCACUACUAGUCCUACAGUGUAAGAGUUGUUGGACAAAUUAUAUAUUUUUGUGAUGAAAGUAAUAAAAAACUGCUGUAAAUUUUUUUAUUGAAGUCAAUGGGACAAGCCAAAAAAAGAGCAAUUAUUGGUAGUUUUUCAUCAUCAUAAUGUAUAAACCAGCAUUAGCCCCCGAGGCCCUUUUAAAAUUUCCCAGAGGGAAUUUUAUAGUUGAACUUUAGAGGUCACAAAAAGUGCUGCUGACCUGCCUGAGUCAGACAAUAGUGAGUACGGUGUUCUCAAAACAACUCUCAUGGCCCACCUUAUGGCUUAACUUCAUACAUUGAUAAAAUGUAAGAAUGCAGUUACUAUUAAAUAAAAGGCUAUUAAGUUUCACAAAUUUUGUCUGUUAUUGUGCUGAAACUAAUGCCUUUUGCUUUAUUUGCACCUUUAUUUGAGAGGUAAAUAAGGGGGUGUGAGGAAGAACACACAGACCCUCAAAUGUCUGCAUUUGUGUGUGUGUGUGUGUGUGUGUGUGUGUGUGUGUGUGUGUGUGUGUGUGUGUGUGUGUGUGUGUGUGUGUGUGUGUGUGUGUGUGUGUGUGUGUGUGGUCACCUCUCACAGAGGAGCCAGCUGUUAAUGUGCUAAAUUAUGAAAAUAUGUCUUCUCCAAUCAGCCUCUUCAUCCAUCACCCUGAUGUCUAAUCCCUCACCCAGAAGGAGAGUGGGGGAGUGGGCUUUACAGGAGAAAUCUUCCACUGUGUCAGCGUGGGAGCUAAAUUCAGCUAAUCCACCCAUUAAUAUGAUGACUGAAAGACUUUGUGGUCUCCAGGUUAUAUUUCAUAAGGACAGCUGAUGGAGAAUCCAGAGGUAACAGCAUGAGGGUGAGGGAGAUUCGUGCUCAUUAGUCCUCUCAUUAAUGUCAUACACUCAGUUUUAUGUGUGUUACAGAACAAUGAGCUGAUGCAUCCUGAGA